GAAUUGUUCGCAAUGGGCGCAAGCCUGACGACGCAACGCCGCGUGGAGGAUGAAGGUCUUCGGAUUGUAAACUCCUGUUGCCCGGGACGAAAAGCUUCGACCUAAUACGUCGAAGUCUGACGGUACCGGGUGAGGAAGCCCCGGCUAACUCUGUUCCAGCAGCCGCGGUAAUACAGAGGGGGCAAGCGUUGUUCGGAAUUACUGGGCGUAAAGGGCGCGUAGGUGGCCUGCUAAGUCGAACGUGAAAUCCCUGGGCUCAACCCAGGAACUGCGUCCGAUACUGGUUGGCUUGAAUCCGGGAGAGGGAUGUGGAAUUCCAGGUGUAGCGGUGAAAUGCGUAGAUAUCUGGAGGAACACCGGUGGCGAAGGCGACAGCCUGGACCGGUAUUGACGCUGAGGCGCGAAAGCGUGGGGAGCAAACGGG
rnacentral:rRNA from 1 species